GGAAGUUUCUCCCAUCUCCACAGAAGAACUCUGGAGCUCUGUCAGAGUGACCAUCGGGUUCUUGGUCUCCUCCCUGACCAUGGCCCUUCUCCCCUGAUUGCUCAGUUUGGCCAGGCUGCCAGCUCUAGGAUGUCCUGGUGGUUCCAAACUUCUUCAAUUUAAGAAUGAUGGAGGCUACUGUGUUCUUGAGGACCUUCAAUGCUGUAGAAAUGUUUUGGUACCCUUCCCCAGAUCUGUGCCUCGAAACAAUCUUGUCUCGGAGCUCUACGGACAAUUCCUUUGACCUCAUGGCUUGGUUUCUGCUCUGACAUGCACUGUCAACUGUGGGACCUUAUAUACACAGGUGUGUGCCUUUCCAAAUCAUGUCCACUCAAUUNNNNNNNNNNNNNNNNNNNNUGACUCUGUGCUUUGUCCGCAGUCCCUCUCACUAUCUCUGCACAUUAAACGUGAGGGGGGAUCCCCCACCUCUCCCCCCUGCCCACCUGAAGACCCCCACUCAGACAGAUACCAGACGUUUCUUCGUGUGAGGACCAACAGACAUACAAGACUGAAUGUCAGGAUCGGCAAGCUGAAGAGGAGGAAAGCUGACGAAGUUCAGGUAUAUUCUUAAAUAGUAACUGGCAUUGUAUUGUAGGCGACAGUAGCACGUAGAAAUGUAUUGUAUGAAUGCUGUCCUGGAUGCAAAACUGGCCUAUCCCCUUAGAUAGGCCAGCUGCAAAGUCAAAAUUGGCUAUAUUGUAAAAAUGCAUAAAAACAUUUUUAUGUUAGGGUUAGCCAUUAGAGUUAGCAGUGUGGUUAAGGUUAGGGUUUGGUUUUGUAAGUUUGGCAUGAAUGAUUCGGGAGACAGGCGCAGGAAUGCGUAAUCGUUUUUUUUAUUAUACCCAAAAUUACGGCGUGCCAAGGCACAGGGACGAAUACCAAACAAACACCUAACAAAAACACAGGGUUGAACCCAAACAAAAGAGCGAGGUGUACCUUGAAUAAAUAACUCACGCACACAAUGAUUAACACACGGGAUGAGACCAUAACCAUCUGCACAAUCCACAAAAAGCCCAAAACACACAGCACAGGUACUCACAUGCACCAACGGACAUUGUAACAAUAAUCGACAUCCCAAUGGAAACCAAAGGGCACAUAAACUCAGCAAAAAAAGAAACGUCCUUUUCAGGAUGCCUAAGACAAGUGCUACAGGGAGACAGGGUGGAAAGCUGAUCGUCCACGAAGUGGCAGACCAUGUGUAACAACACCUGCACAGGAUCGGUACAUCUGAACAUCAC
rnacentral:lncRNA from 8 species